rnacentral:lncRNA from 1 species
CAUGCGUCGUUGGCGAUGAAGCCUCAUGCUGCAGCUAUAAAGCUGAGUGAUGAAGGGGAAAUAUUAGAAGUCCUGGAAGAUUGUGAAGGGAAGACCUUGAAGUUCAUCAGUGAAAUUGAAGAGAAAGAUGGAAAACUUUGGAUGGCAUCAGUGUUAAUGCCUUAUAUUGGUGUUUAUAAUUUAUGAGAAUGCAAUAUACUAUAUUAGUGUUUAUACUGAUGUUGCUAGCACUCAUCUUUGAACUAUCUUUAAACUUAGUAUGGAUUAAGUUAGUCUGGAUUAAGUUUUAACUUAGUAGAGUUAAUUAGGCCUGUUUGAUUGUGUUUUGCUUUUUAGUUUUUGAAAAUUAUUUUACAAACUUGUUCUUUAAAACUGUUUUAAAAAGUAAAUUAAGAAAAAAAAUCUGUUUGGGGAUUACACUUUUAAAAACUGUUUUAAAGGUCCUUUUAGAGUUUUUAAAAAGCAGAAAUGCCAUUAAUGAAAAUAUGUCCAAGGUCCGCCUUUCUUAAACUCUAAAAGGAAAACUAAAAUUGAAAACCAAAACUACUUUUGACAGUUCUGCUAUUUUAGUUUUUAAAACUAAUAAACUCAAACUAAUUUUCAAAAUUACAAUUUAAAAAAUAGUUUACCAAACAAAUUUUGUAGUUUUUAAUUUUUAAAAACUAAAAAACUGUUUUUGAGAAGUGAAUCAAACUUGUUUCUAGUUUUUUUAUUUUAUUUUAUUUUCUUUAUUACAAAGUUUCUAGUUUUUUUUUUUAGGGGAAAGUUUCUAGUUCUUGUCUUACGAAAAAAGUGAUAAUAAAGUUUAUUGAUGUUUAUGGACCAGUUAAAUCUUUAUACUAACAAUUUAGAGUUCUUAGCAAUAGCCUAUUUCAAAUUCCUUUCCUCUAAGGAUGUCCACCUCAUCAAAAUCCUACUUGGCAUAUGUUCCCAAAAUUCCUCCUAAUUUUUAAUACAAGCUUAAUAAUUUUAAUUAUUAUCAAAAAUCGUUUUUUAUUUAAGAUUAAAUUGUACAUAAAGUAAAUAGUUGGUUACAAUCAGAUAAUGAUUAAUAUAAUUACUGUUUCGAUUAAAAUUUAUAUUUUACAAUAAAAAUUUGAACGUUACAAAUCAAAUAAUUAUUAAUCUAAUUAGUAUUCAAUUAACAUUUAUAUGUAACAUUCAAAAUUUGGUUGGUUACAAAAUUAUAAUAAAUAAACUGAAUAAAUUAUAUUUUGAAUUUUGGGACGUUACACUAAGGCAUUAACCUACUAAUUAAAAAAUUAAUUGUAUUAAUUAGUUUUUAAGGUUAUAUAAUUAAUUUUUGUUUGUUACAAAACUAUAUUACAUAAUUAUUUAUAAGAUAUUAUUAAAUAUUAAAUUAAAUUUCAAAUGUUAUGAAGUUAAUUUUUUGUACGUUACAUGAAAUAUAAUUUAAUCGUUUAAUGCACGUUUUAUAAUAUUAAAGACGUUGAUAAUAUUAAUUUUAAAACGGUCAAAUUGAUAAUUAAUUUAUAUUAACCGUUAUGGUACUAUUUUUCUAUAUAAAUAGUAGAGAUUUUGGGUAUGAGUACACAACAAUCACAAAAUAUAGUUCUUCGUUUUCUGUUCUUUGGUGCUCUGAUAUCUAUAUUCUAAACUAUUUCUGUAAUUUUUCUAUUGCAAAGGAAAAUGUCAACGAAACACAACUUCAUCUCUAAUGUUUCGCCAAGAAAACAAUCGUGGACAUUGGUUGUGAGGGUUGUUCGUGCUUGGUUUGGUCAAGACUACAAAAAUAAAAAACUACCAUUUUCCAUGGAGUUGGUUCUAAUGGAUCGAAAGGUACCUUUUUCAUAUCGUUUUUUUUUUUUUUUUUUUUUAGUAUUUUUUUGUUUAAAGUAUAGUGUUCUCAUCUUUUUUAUCUAGGGUGAUCGAAUUGGUGCGUCUAUACGAAGAACAUUGAUCUACAAGUUCAAGGAACAACUCCAAGAGGGAAUGGUGUUCACGAUUUCCUCAUUUAAUGUUGCUAGCAACAGUGGUUCGUAUCGACCAUCACGCAACGAAUACAAACUGAAUUUCACAAUCAACACAAAAGUCAAACUAUCUAAAACUGUUUUGGUCCCAACAAACGUGUAUUCGUUUACACCUGCACCUGAUGUUUUCAAUGAAUCUUACGACAACAACUACUUAGUUGGUAAGUGACUAUAAUUUUCUUCAUGUAGAUUUUUUUAAAUAUUAUUUUUGCUUACAAAAAUAACACAAUAAUUUAUAUAUUGAAUUAAUAAAAUGUUUUGUUUAAUAUGAUUCAAUUGUACGUUAUAUUCUUUUAAUAAUAAAUAGUAAUUUGAUUGAUAUUUUAAUGUGUGUUAUAUAUGCAGAUGUAAUUGGAGUCAUGAUUGGAGUUGGAGUUGAAAGAGAGUACGAAAGAGAUGGUGUAAAAACUAAAAUGAAUGUCAUUGAAUUGGAUUCAAAUGGGUAGGUUUGAUUUAUUUUUUUUGUAAUUGUAAUUUUUCAAGACCUGUAUUAUAAUAUUUUUAUUAAUAUUUGUAUAAUCUUUGACAAUUUUAAAUAGGUACGUACCGUUUUAAAUGUACUCUUUUUGGAGAGUAUGUUGAAGAGCUGAACUCUUUCCUAUCUUCCGGUGAAUCUCAAAAUGCUGUUGUAGCCAUUAUGUUGACAAAAGUUAAAUUGUUUCAAGGUAAUAAUUUAUGACUAGCAAUUGUGAUUGUUUGUUUAUACGAAUAUAUAUACUUGAUUCAUAUACUUUUGAAUCUUAAUGAUAGGAAAACCAGCAUUGCGAAAUGCAUUUUCUUACACUAGAAUCACAUUCAAUCCUGAAAUGGGUGAAACAAAGGAAAUAAGGAAAAGGUAUAUAUAUUUUUUUUAAUAUAACAUUUUUUUUUCUUAAGUUAUAAUAUUAUUGAUUGAUACUUUUUAUUAUAGCUUUCUUAGUGCAAAUACAAAUUCUCCUGCAUCGGGAUUGAUCCAGUUACCAAAUUCAUCUCGCAUACCUGUAAAUGAGGAGUUUCUCUUACUUACUCCUAGGACCACUAUUGAGGAGUUGAAGAAUGUUAAUAAGGUUUUUUAUUUUAUUUUAUUACAGGUCUAUUUUGGUAAAGUUUGUACACCUUUUGGUAUAAUGUUAUUUUGUAUGGUGAUGCGGCACCUCUUUUAUUGUCUUGGGAAUUUCAAUUUUCAAUUGAACAAAUCGUUUUUGUUGCAUGUAUUGACAAUUCAAUAAAAAAAAAUCAGUUUCCAUAUUUUCUAUUUACAAUUUACUUAUGUCUUAAACUUUACACAAAUUCUAAAGUAAAUACAAAAAUUAAGUUUCCCUAAGUGUGAAUAAUUAGCGAUAACCUAUUAUUUUAAAAAUAUUGUUUUUGUGUUUUAAACUUAUUUUUUGUUCACAAAUAUAAAACCAAACAUGAUUUGUUAAUGCUUUUUUUAUAUUCAAAAUUUAACAUAAAAAUUCAUUUUUUUUAAUGAAAUACAAAAUAUACAUAUAUUUAUGAGGUAAAUUUUAUUCAAAAAUGUGCUUAUUUUCAUAAAUUAAAAAAAUAAUGUCAAUGAAUAUUAUUUAUGAAACCAAUAAAAAUAAUAGAUGUAACUAAAAUUUUGAAUUUAGGUUUUUUUUAUUUAUAAUUGCGAUCAUAGAGAUCAUUGUGAUUAAGUAAAAAAUUAAUAUUUUUAUUAAGAGUGAAAAAUUAAAACAUAGGUAAUCAUAUCCAUUUGAUAUAUUGAAUGACUGACAAACCAAAGCUAAUACAAACUCUUACUAAUUAGUUAAUUUUUUAGAAAUAUAUUAAUUAUUUAUAGUGUUUUUAUCUUUUGGGUUUAAUUGUACUUUUGUUGAUUAUUUUAUCACUCUCACAAAAAUAGUCAUCUAUAAAAUUUAACUUUUUGAUCUCAAUAAAUGAUUAUUUAUUUUUCAAUUUUAAAUACGAAGAUAAAAUACCACAUAACGCCAAAAUUAUGGAUGAAAAGAAACAAAAACAAUAAUAUUUAAAAAAUUUGUUAAAACUUAAAUCAUAUUAAAAAAAAAAUUAAAUAAAAUGUAUCCCGUGCUUGGCACGGGGCGUUACACUAUUGAGAAGCAUACGGAAGUAAUUGAGAUUUAGAAAUUAAUUUUAACUUAUACAGAAAUUAUUGUUUGGAAAAUUAGUCAUCAUAAUUUUUUUUUGUUACAAAUGGGAAAAAUUGUAAAAGUGGUAUCAAAGUCUCUUAGUGGUUAUGAACAUUUAACUCAUUGCCGUUCUCAGUGCUCCUCGAACUCUCUAACAAGUGGUAUCAGGAUCCUAAUUAAGCUCGGCGGGGGAGUGGGAGAGGGAUCCUAGUGUGGAUUGGACUAGUGAUAUGAGUGACUCAAACAUGAGAUGAAGAUGUGGUGUCAAAGUCUCUUAAUGAUCUUGAUCUUAGACGUUUAGCUUGUUCACGUUAUCGACGCUCCCCGAAACUCCACAACACCAAUGAUAUUUAAACACCUCAACUUUUUCUAUAUCAAUUCAACACUCCAUUUUUCAUAUAUCUCCCUCUUCCUAUCUCAUUAUUAAACUACGGUAUCAUCGUUUUUUCUCUUCCUUUCUCUUAAUUUAAAGGUGCAUACAUCCACAUGAAGAAGUGUAAAAAACAUUUUCAAAAAACUAUCAUCCAGAUGUCUCAUAUUCAAUGUCCUUUUUUUAGUGAACAUAUAAUAUCCAUCAAGUUUAAUUGAAUAUGCACUCUUCACCCAAUGUCAUAUCAUAGUUUUAUAUUAAUUUAUUUUUAAAGUAAAUUUAAACAUUAAACAAAUUGUACCUAUAAGACAACGAUACUCAACCAAACUUUAAAGGAUCUACGAAUUGAUCAUUUGUUUUUUUAUUGGUGAGCUCUUUCGUAUCCUAGAAUUUUAUAUCAAACAUUAAAAAAAACUAACUAACUUAUGCUUUAUGAGUGUUUUUUUAAAAAUUGUAUAAAAGUUUAAUUUUUUUUUUUUCCAUUAGUUAUGAUUCAAUCGAUAAAAAAAUCGAAAUUGUUAGGUCUGACUUUAUCAUUUUGUCCAUCCACAUAAAAAAAAUAUUUUUUUACAAUACAAACUCUCUUGUAAUUCUUAUUUUAGGUUUUUUAAUUUAUGAGUUAAAGUUUGGUCAAAAAAGAAAAACCUUGUGACUUAAAGCACAAGUUAACACCACACGAAAGUUAAUCAUUUGAUGCCACACAUUAUCUUAAAAAGUUUUUUGGUUUUUUAGGGGAUCAUAUCCUAUAAAGUUGUUGAUGGCGUUAUUGAAUUUUUCUCCGUAGGACCCUCAUGGUGCACCCUCGUGCACGCAUGUUUCAAAUAAAUCCAGAAACAAACUACACUCUUCAUUUGCUGACUUCACCACUCCCACUUUUCCUCCACUCAUCCUAAACAAACAUGAACUCUAUGAUAAUUGUUUCUGCAAUUUUUCUGGCACUCUUUGCCAUCAUCUUCACCUCAUAUAAUCCACAAAAUUUCUUUUCACCGGUUCCCAUUCCUGGAUCGAAGAAUAGUCUCCAUGCUGCUAAGUUACUCGAUCUCACCGGAGCCGUCGGGCCGGAGAGUCUUGUUUUUGAUAGUAAUGGUGAUGGGCCGUACACCGGCGUGGCGGAUGGUCGGAUUUUAAAAUGGGAAGGAGAGGAACGUGGUUGGACUGAAUUUGCUGUCACCAGCUCCAAUAGGUAAUGGUAAUAUUCAUUUGGGUGUUUCCACAUUUCAAAAUUCUUUCUUUACACAUUUUGUUUUUAUUUUUUGUUCUAAAGAAUUUAAGGAGAAACUCGUAUAGACUAAAUAUUUAGAAGCCAAGAGUUGCAGAUUUGAACAUACCUCGCUCGGUGUAUCAAAUGUCUCUAUGGUUCUUUAUUUAGUUUAUGUUUUGAAUGAAUUUAUACAAGUAAAACAAAUUCUAAUUUAACUCGUAUAGACUCCUCUCUAUUUAAUGGAAGCUACCAUUUAGAGAGUGAUAGAUUCAUCGAAUAUAAUGGUAGUGUCCGGUAAAUAGAGAGAAUCUUAACUUUUUUUUUUUCUUUUUUAAUUUAAGUGAGCUCCACCACUAUUAAUUAUUUUAUAUAUUUUUUCAAAUUUUUGUGUUUUUAUAUCUCCAAAAAACAAAAUGGAGAUACACCACCAAGAAAAAAAUGAAAAUAAUUUAAAUUGAGAGGAUCCUUACUCAAUUGUUUGGUAGGGUAGGUUAGUGCUUUCAAUGCAAGUGGUACCACUAUUUAAUUGGAUAAUGAUUUUAGUAUAGUUAGUUGAGUUGAGUAAUUGAAAUUGAACUCCCUUUACAUGAGAUUUAGGAUCGCGAAAGUGUGUAAGUCUAAAAUAUGAAAACUUUUAGGGUUAAAGAACACUCGUAAGAAUAUUUACCUUUAUCUCCUGCAAAAGUAUUAUUGGGGCUCAAACUCGAGAUCUUUAGACUCUAAAUUCAAGACUUGUUUUUUUAUCAUUAGAUCAAACUUUUGAAGUUACCUUACUCUAUUUAUACCGUAGGGAUUUCUUGAGUUUUAUGAGUUCAAACUUGUACCUACAUGCAUAAUAUGUUAUCAAUUAUGUACUUGCAUAUUACACCAUGUUUUAAUAAAUGUAAACUUAAUUUUACUCUAAAUAACAUGGUAUGAUACAAUUGGUAGAUAAUGAGUCUCUUAAGCAUGUUGUCCUAGGUCUAGAAGAAUCUCAUUUGGGAAAUGUCAACCUCUUAAAUACUUCGACGAGUUAGACUCUAACCGUAGAUCGUGGAUACACGGGUUCAUGCUUAAUUUUACUUUUUAGUUCGCAUGCCGUUUUUUAAGACACUAAAGAGUUAGGACCAAUGUUGUGAGCUAAUUAUUCCCUUGAAAGUGAAUUUACAGCAUUAAUUGUUAUUGAGUGAUUAACCAAGAAAUAUGCAGUUUAUGGAGUAGCCACUAAAUAUUUUUCAACUAGUUUGAACACGAGGGGCAUGGAGAUGGAGGAGAAUUGUAUUUUACUUACAAGCAUUAUUAAAAUUUCAAACCUUCUGAUUCUAAAUUGUGAAAACUAGAGUACUUGCUAUGAAUGAUAUGCUUGUUACAUAUGCUUUGACUGAAAUUCUGCCUGGUAGGUUUUGCAUGAUGUGCAGAAAAGCCGUAUAACUGAUUAUUUUGUUUGAAUGCCAUGACAUUACUCUUAACUCAUAGCUACAUUAGAAUUUUCUUACGAGUUUAAUAAAUUCCGUUGUAUGAUUUGCAAGGUCGGACUGUGUGCGUCCAUUCGCACCAGAGUUGGAGCAUGUUUGUGGGAGGCCACUAGGACUAAAGUUUGAUAAGAAAAAUGGAGAUUUGUAUAUGGCUGAUGCCUACCUUGGCCUCAACGUCGUAGGACCUGCAGGGGGUUUGGCCACUCAGGUAGCAACAGAAGCUGAAGGCCUGCCCUUUCACUUCACCAAUGACUUGGAUAUCAGUGAAGAUGAAGAUGUGAUUUACUUUACUGAUUCAAGCUCAGUUUAUCAGAGAAGGUAACUUUACCUCUUAACAACACCUAUUUUUCUAUAAUCAACUCUGUCUGCAUUUUGUAAAACAACAUUACAAUUGAGUACAAACAAUUUUAUAAUUCUAGUGAGAUCAAUUCUCUAUCAUUAUAUUUUCAUUUAAACAAUUCUAAACUUGCUUCUUCUUCUUCAUACUCCAACAUUCGGUCCAUUAAUGUUACAAAUGCGAAAUGCUGUUUUACACGAAAGUGGAUUUGACAAAACCGACGAACAUUUGUUGACAGGCCUGUUGUCUCACUCACUACUCCAGUACUCCUUGUGUUGUGUCAAUCACCCAACUAAACAUUUGUUAACUUUUCCGUAAAAACAAAGCAAUCUUGUGCUUCACAUUCUAUAUCCUUCAAAGUAGCAACAAUCCUAACGACUUUAUUUAUUUUUGUGCAAUCAAUAUGUUGUAAACUAGUGUUUUUUUUAUCAUUAUAUAGAGAAAAUUGCACUCACUGCACCUAAGAUAUCUUGAAACAACACAUUGACCCCAUCUAGUUUUGAACACUUAUCUCUCCUAUUGAUUUCUGUUAUGAUCAUCCUGAUUUAGCCGUUUUGGAAUGGUAAACUAUAUAGUAAGAGGGAAAUCUCUCACAAAGUAUGAAACACUUGUUCAAGUCAAAUAAAAAAUGUUUGAUGGUUGAAGAAAAUAAUAAAUAAUAUCAAGGAAAACUGUGCAAUUCUCUUUGGUCUAUGUAUAUAUCUUUGUAGAGCAAGAUAAUAUUUGUCUAUGAAACUAAUAAAUAUAAAUAUAACUGAAAACUUCUCUUUGUAGAGAAAUUUUGAUCUAUAUGUUGGUCACUUUUGUCUGCAGGCAACAUAUGCUUGUAACUCUUAGUGGAGACAAGACUGGACGGUUAAUGAAAUACGAUAAGUCGAGUAAAGAAGUAAAGGUCUUAUUAAGUGGCCUUUUUUUUCCCAAUGGUGUUGCUUUAAGCAAAGAUGGUUCAUUUCUUCUGGUAGCCGAAACCUCGAUUAGCAGGAUUCUGAGGCUUUGGCUUAAUGGACCUAAUGUUGGCCAAAUCGAUACUUUUGCUGUUCUUCCAGGUUUUCCCGACAAUAUAAGGAGAAAUUCAGAAGGGCACUUUUGGGUUGCUUUGCAUUCCAAAAAAACUCCUUUUACGAAGUGGAUAUCUUCUAAUCUAUGGGCUCGUAAAGCAUUGUUAAAGCUUAGAAACUUCAAGCGGUUGCAAGCGUUGUUGGCGACAAAGCCUCAUGCUGCAGCUAUAAAGCUGAGUGAUGAAGGGGAAAUAAUAGAAAGUCUGGAAGAUCGUGAAGGGAAGACCUUGAAGUUCAUCAGUGAAGUGGAAGAGAAAGAUGGAAAACUUUGGAUGGCCUCUGUCUUAAUGCCUUAUAUUGGUGUUUAUAGUUUAUGAGAAUGCAAUAUGUUAAUUAUAUUAGUAUUGAUAUUGCUGUUUCUAGCACUCAUCUUUGAAUUAUCUUUAGACUUAUUUGGAUUAACUUUUAACUUAGGAGAGUUAAUUAAGUUUCUAAUCCUGUCUUGCGAAAAAUUGCUAAUAAAGAUUGUUGAUGUUUGUUUAUGGAUUUAAAUGAGAGGUCUACGGAAGUAAUUCAGAUAUAGAAGUUCCUUUUAACUUCUUUUUUUUUUACUAAAAGUUCAUUUUAACUUGUAAAGUCGUAAGAAAAGUUAUUGUUUGCAAAAUUAGUUAUUGCAAAUUUCUUUUUUCUUGUUACAAACGGAAAAAUUGUAAAAUUGUAAAAUUCUUUUAAGAAUAUUCUUGAAAAGUUUAUUUAGACUUUUUUUAGUCAUUCAUGCAAGUGGCGUAUGAAUUAAAAUGUUAAUUACUUUGAAUGAUUGAUAAGAAUUAACUUAAUAUGAAAGUUGUGUUAAUUGUAAAAUUAUAGUAUGUUUCUCUUAGAUUCACAUAUUUUUGAAGUCGGUAUGUAUGUGGUCGUUACAUCAAGAUCAGAUGGUUCAUAUUUCAAGUUCGGUAUUUUUCUAUUUUAAAAAAUGAAAAAUUAUAUUGAAAUCUAGAUCGUUCGAUUUCAAUCCAACAAUCAUGGGGUACCCAUUUGGGUUGGCCUAGUGGUAUUUGCUUGGGACUUGAGAGUGUGCUCCUCCUCGAUAUCUCAUGUUCGAUUUUCUCCGAUGGUAAUUUAGGUGGACUAAUUUAGCUUCUUAAAAAAAAAAAAAAUCCAACAAUCAUGGGUACCAAAUAUGCGUGAAUUCGUCAAAUAAUGACUGCAUUGAAUCACAUUUCGUAGAUACAUAAACACUAGCAACUAAUAUUUGCCUAUUAAAAAAAGCAGAUACACAAACAAUUGUGGAGAAUUGGUGGUAAUCUUCUACCAUUAAUUAUCGGUGGUGCUUUAACUUAAUGGUGUGUUUUAGUAUGGUUGCAUUGAAAACCAGUAAAAAUAUUUCAAGGAAUGUUUGCAUUAUUUUCUUCCAUAGUACUUCUAUGGUGGUGGUAAGCAACAAGAACAAAAGUAAAUGAUUUAGAUUUGAAUUGAGUUGAGUUGAAGAAAAUAUUCAUUUCAUCAUUUCCUUCUUUGUGUAUAUUUAUUGGGCGAGCCACACUAUGCUUAUUGGCCAGAAUUUCAUUCAGUCUAUUUAGCCAAAUUGGGUUUGAAUCAUGUGCCUUUACAUAUGUGAUGAUUUGU